UACAGAGGUCUCAAGCGUUGUUCGGAUUCAUUGGGUUUAAAGGGAGCGUAGGUGGUCUUAUAAGUCAGUGGUGAAAUCCUGUCGCUUAACGAUAGAAUUGCCAUUGAUACUGUAGGACUUGAGUACAGUUGCCGUUGGCGGAAUAUGACAUGUAGUGGUGAAAUACAUAGAUAUGUCAUAGAACACCGAUUGCGAAGGCAGCUGACGAAACUGUAACUGACACUGAGGCUCGAAAGUGUGGGGAUCAAACAGG
rnacentral:rRNA from 1 species